rnacentral:rRNA from 1 species
AUGUUUGCUUUGAAUCCCGCCAACUCAUUUGCUGCUUUUAAUGCACAAAAGGUAUGCAAACUUGCUUCUAAAAUUUGUAUUGCUUUCAAAUUGGUAUUGAAUCUCUUCAACUCAUUCGUUUCUUUUAAUGCACACAAGGUACGAAGACUUGCUGAGUUUUAUCCCAAAGACUUUUCAAGUGCCGACUUGAUACACCUUGAACUACAACUUGAUAAAUAUAUUGAUGACAUGAGAAAUGAUGAGAACUUCCAAGGCCUUGGAAAUCUUGUUGAUCUCUCUGUUAAGCUUGUUCAAAUAGGGAGACACAUAGUACAUCAUUUGGUGUACUUGCUUUUGAAAUUGGUAUUGAUUCUACCGGUGGCAACGGCAAAAUGUUGA